rnacentral:rRNA from 1 species
AGAGUUUGAUCCUGGCUCAGAACGAACGCUGGCGGCGCGUCUUAAGCAUGCAAGUCGAACGGCAAGAUUGGUGCUUGCACCGAUCCUAGAGUGGCGGACUGGUGAGUAACGCGUGGGUGACAUACCCUCUGGAUGGGGAUAGCUGAUAGAAAUAUCAGGUAAUACCGAAUAAGAUUCUGCAGGUUAGAGAUGCAGAAAGAAAGGUGCGUCAGCACCGCCGGAGGAAUGGCCCGCGUACUAUUAGCUAGUUGGUGAGGUAAAGGCUCACCAAGGCGACGAUAGUUAUCCGGCCUAAGAGGGUGAACGGACACAUUGGGACUGAGAUACGGCCCAGACUCCUACGGGAGGCAGCAGCUAAGAAUAUUCCGCAAUGGACGAAAGUCUGACGGAGCGACGCCGCGUGGAUGAAGAAGGCCGGAAGGUUGUAAAGUUCUUUUAAGCAUGAAGAAGGAUUAUUGCAGGAAAUGGCAGUAAAGUGACGGUAGUGCUUGAAUAAGA